AGUGAACGCUGGCGGUAGGCCUAACACAUGCAAGUCGAACGGCAGCACAGUAAGAUCUUGCUCUUACGGGUUGCGAGUGGCGGACGGGUGAGGAAUACAUCGGAAUCUACUUUUUCGUGGGGGAUAACGUAGGGAAACUUACGCUAAUAUCGCAUACGACCUACGGGUGAAAGCAGGGGAUCUUCGGACCUUGCGCGAUUGAAUGAGCCGAUGUCGGAUUAGCUAGUUGGCGGGUUAAAGGCCCACCAAGUCGACGAUCCGUAGCUGGUCUGAGAGGCUGAUAAGCGACACUGGAACUGAGACACGGUCCAGACUACUACGGGAGGCAGCAGUGGGGAAUAUUGGACAAUGGGCGCAAGCAUGAUCCAGCCAUACCGCGUGUGUGAAGAAGGCCUUCGGGUUGUAAAGACCUUUUGUUGGGAAAGAAAAGCAGCCGGUUAAUACCCCGCUGUUCUGACGGUACCCAAAGAAUAAGCACCGGCUAACUUCGUG
rnacentral:rRNA from 1 species